UGAUGUCCGCGACAACCGUGACGAGCCU
rnacentral:sRNA from 1 species